GUGCUCAUUUCAGUAGCACAUAUACUAAAAUUGGACUAAUAUAAAGGAGAUUUGCAGGGCCUCUGAACAAGGAUGACACACAAAUUCGUGAGGAAUUCCAUAUUUUU
rnacentral:snRNA from 1 species